AUUGAACGCUGGCGGCAGGCCUAACACAUGCAAGUCGAGCGGAUGAAGGGAGCUUGCUCCUGGAUUCAGCGGCGGACGGGUGAGUAAUGCCUAGGAAUCUGCCUGGUAGUGGGGGAUAACGUCCGGAAACGGGCGCUAAUACCGCAUACGUCCUGAGGGAGAAAGUGGGGGAUCUUCGGACCUCACGCUAUCAGAUGAGCCUAGGUCGGAUUAGCUAGUUGGUGGGGUAAAGGCCUACCAAGGCGACGAUCCGUAACUGGUCUGAGAGGAUGAUCAGUCACACUGGAACUGAGCCACGGUCCAGACUCCUACGGGAGGCAGAAGUGGGGAAUAUUGGACAAUGGGCGAAAGCCUGAUCCAGCCAUGCCGCGUGUGUGAAGAAGGUCUUCGGAUUGUAAAGCACUUUAAGUUGGGAGGAAGGGCAGUAAGUUAAUACCUUGCUGUUUUGACGUUACCAACAGAAUAAGCACCGGCUAACUUCGUG
rnacentral:rRNA from 1 species